rnacentral:lncRNA from 1 species
UCAUGGUUCAAAAUAACAACAUGGAUUUACUAAGUAAUCUAGUCAUAUACAUAACAAAUUUAAUGUAUAAGAAGGCGUCUCUAACUCUAUACAUAACUAAUUUAUGUAUAAGGCUGAAAUAACAACAAAACACACUUAUAUAACAAUGUAAAAGAAUGCGUAAAUCGAUAAAAAAAAUACAGGUUCAACAACAAAUCACUAUACCUACAAAAGACACGAUCGUGAUGGUUUUUCACUUUUUAUCUUACUUGAAGAUUUAACAAUGAAUUUGUUAGAGCUUGUACGAGCAAAUUUCCUUGACUUCUUCAUCUUGGCGGGAUCAUUUCGGUGUUUCGAUCUAUUUUCUUUAAAACCCGGACCAGACUCCAUUACUAUGCUUAAGCUUUGAGAAUUAUGCACAUGCAACAAGUAUCUCAUAGAUCUUUAAUUUAGUAGAGUUAGAAAAUUUAAAAAAUUAAACUAACCUCAAAAAUAAAUUAAAGAAGAUGAUGAUGUUCAGCAACUUGAUAAGAUAAGAUUUGUAAAUUCAAAUCUUGAAAUCUCUUAAUUAUGGUUGCUUGAUUUUAGGCAUAAAUUAUGGAGGUGUGAUAUGUAUAUGGAUAUGGAGGUUGAAGAGAAAAAAAUGUAAAAAUGGGAU